rnacentral:rRNA from 1 species
CCAGAAAGCCACGGCUAACUACGUGCCAGCAGCCGCGGUAAUACGUAGGUGGCGAGCGUUGUCCGGAUUUAUUGGGCGUAAAGGGAACGCAGGCGGUCUUUUAAGUCUGAUGUGAAAGCCUUCGGCUUAACCGAAGUAGUGCAUUGGAAACUGGAAGACUUGAGUGCAGAAGAGGAGAGUGGAACUCCAUGUGUAGCGGUGAAAUGCGUAGAUAUAUGGAAGAACACCAGUGGCGAAAGCGGCUCUCUGGUCUGUAACUGACGCUGAGGUUCGAAAGCGUGGGUAGCAAACAGGAUUAGAUACCCUGGUAGUCCACGCCGUAAACGAUGAGUGCUAAGUGUUGGAGGGUUUCCGCCCUUCAGUGCUGCAGCUAACGCAUUAAGCACUCCGCCUGGGGAGUACGGUCGCAAGACUGAAACUCAAAGGAAUUGACGGGGGCCCGCACAAGCGGUGGAGCAUGUGGUUUAAUUCGAAGCAACGCGAAGAACCUUACCAGGUCUUGACAUCCCGAUGCUAUUUCUAGAGAUAGAAAGUUACUUCGGUACAUCGGUGACAGGUGGUGCAUGGUUGUCGUCAGCUCGUGUCGUGAGAUGUUGGGUUAAGUCCCGCAACGAGCGCAACCCUUAUUGUCAGUUGCCAUCAUUAAGUUGGGCACUCUGGCGAGACUGCCGGUGACAAACCGGAGGAAGGUGGGGAUGACGUCAAAUCAUCAUGCCCCUUAUGACCUGGGCUACACACGUGCUACAAUGGACGGUACAACGAGUCGCUAACUCGCGAGGGCAAGCUAAUCUCUUAAAGCCGUUCUCAGUUCGGAUUGCAGGCUGCAACUCGCCUGCAUGAAGUCGGAAUCGCUAGUAAUCGCGAAUCAGCAUGUCGCGGUGAAUACGUUCCCGGGCCUUGUACACACCGCCCGUCACACCAUGAGAGUUUGUAACACCCAAAGUCGGUGGGGUAACCUUUUGGAGCCAGCCGCCUAAGGUGGGACAGAUGAUUGGGGUGAAGUCGUAACAAGGUAGCCGUAGGAGAACCUGCGGCUG